GACGAACGCUGGCGGCGUGCUUAACACAUGCGAGUCGAACGGAAAGGCCCUGCUUUUGUGGGGUGCUCGAGUGGCGAACGGGUGAGUAACACGUGAGUAACCUGCCCUUGUCUUUGGGAUAACUUCAGGAAACUGGGGCUAAUACCGGAUAGGAGCUCCUGCUGCAUGGUGGGGGUUGGAAAGUUUCGGCGGUUGGGGAUGGACUCGCGGCUUAUCAGCUUGUUGGUGGGGUAGUGGCUUACCAAGGCUUUGACGGGUAGCCGGCCUGAGAGGGUGACCGGCCACAUUGGGACUGAGAUACGGCCCAGACUCCUACGGGAGGCAGCAGUGGGGAAUAUUACACAGUGGGCGGGAGCCUGAUGCGGCAACGCCGCGUGCGGGAUGACGGCCUUCGGGUUGUAAACCGCUUUCGCCUGUGACGAAGCGUGAGUGACGGUAAUGGGUAAAGAAGCACCGGCUAACUACGUG
rnacentral:rRNA from 1 species